CGACGCUCUCGCAGCAGCUCCUCCAGCCUCAGGUCAGGGACACGACACUCCUGGAUCACCUUGGGGAAGUCUGCUGCCAAACUGGAACAGCAGAAAGAAGGAAACACACCCAGCACCCCACACUCCAGGACCCCCAGAACAGCCCUGAGACCCCACACGGUGUCUCCAGGACCCUCAGAACAGCCCUGAGACCCCACACGGUGGCUCCAGGACCCCCAGAA